GGCCUAUAUAAGUACAUACUUCUUUAGAGGUUAUGUUAUUAUAUUUUAAUGAUCGUGUCUGAUGUAUUUACAGCGAACAAGCCUCCGAAAAAACUGAACAGUUCCCAUCCCUUUUUGCGCGAGUACUGCUGCUGAUUUUAUCAAGUUUGUGGAGUAUUCAGGAUUGAAUGAAGUAAGAAACAGUAGAAUAACUGAUACGCGAGAGCAACAGAUUUAGAAAUACGUCCGAUAAUGGAUUUCGGUCCUGUUUCACGCUUGUCUAACAACGAGUGAAGAACACCGUCCUAAAAUUGGCCAUUCUUUACCAUUGUCCUCUAAAUCGAUGUAGCAUGCUCGUGAAGCCUCUUACGUUCGUUUAUCUUCUUCUAUACAAUGCCUUUUGUUUGUAUAAGCAUACAAACGCACACACAGAAGAUUCUGUCUACGGAAACAGAAGGAGUAGAGUAACGAAGAAAACGUGGGUAACUGACGGAAAUGGAGUAGGAAGAGUUUCAAAGAGGAUGGAGAUAACAGGAAUUUUCAGCAAGGUGAGGCACUGAAAGGGGGCCACCUCAACAACUGGUCUGCCGUCGAUUGUAAAAAAAGUACAUUAGAUCAAAUUCUCUUGGUAUUAAGAGGAGCAGAAUUGGAUCUUAAUAGCUUAUUCCGUAAUUAGAGGUGUAAAGAAGAACUAGAAUUAACCUUCCUUUUUAAAAUUAAAACAUUUCAAGCAUUCUUAACAUCGAACUAAUUAAAUAAAAUGAUAUACAUGUAACGUGACGUUUUAUAAUAGUGCGGAAUCGAAUAUACACGAAGGAAUGAUGUAAAUCAGUAUGAUUUGAUGAGUUAUAAUCAAAUAUUUCCAAAAAGUCUGGUGAAUUUGUUCUUUCAGUUUUCAUACAGUAUUGAAUCAAAUCUGAUACGUAUUUGCAACAAAGGAAAAUCUAUGCCUUGGUCGAUGGCUCUUAAUUGCACAUGAGCGUGGCAACUGCCAAAAACCGUAAACCGUCUCGUUUAUUUUUGUCAACGAAACUGUCACUAAAACAGCAGGCAGCGCAAAUAUGUGAUUGUACGAAAGCAAAUGUUGCAAAUGUAACGACAUACUUUGUGGCGCAAUGAUAAAUAUAAACAUGCAAAUUACUAGGAACACCUGUAUAUCCUUACAACAUAUCAGAAUUUGUAUUUACAGAGAAAUAGUAAUAAUAGCAAAAAAGUUACCGUUCUGAUAUCAACGAUAACAAUAGUGCAGAUAUUUUUUACGUGAUUUCAUUCCAAGAAUCAGUUUCAAGAUUAGACGUUAAUAUGAAAUUUGUUCUGUGGAGGACAUGGUGUCUAUUUAAAAUGUUCAAGUGUAAUCUAAUGUCAAUUAUGCAAAUCAGUAAAGCAGUUUUCUGUAAUUAACUUUCAGUAAACAGUACAUUAUUCUGUUUAAGUGAACAUUAGUUUUUUUAAUUUUCACAUACAACUUCCUUCAUCUGUAUAAAAACGCUCUUCCUAUUUUUGAUAAGCACUUAUUGUAGUCAAUCAUCAUUUUAAAGUGAUUAGUUUCUAAAUGUGGCUGCCUUAAUAUUAGUCAGUCGUCAACAUAAUAGAUAUUAUUUUAUGUUGUCACACUUCAUAUUUUUAACAUUCUGUUAUUGUUCAUGAAAUUUUCAUUCUGUUAUUAAAACAUGUAAACAUGCAAUAAAAAUUGCGGUUUCUCACGCAGUCGAUGAAAGAAGAUCAGCCGGAAAAUUCGUAAUUUCUAUUUUCGAUAGGGAGUGUAAUUACCAGAGCUCUUCCGUUGCGACACACGGAUAUUUCCGUGAUACAGACGCUUCGCGUAAACGCUGAUGCAGCUAUGAAAUAGAACAGGAGAGGGUGUCCAUCAUGACGGGCCAGUUGGAACGUAGACAUCGUUGCCAAUAAACUCUCAGACAAAAUAAAUUGAAUGAUUCACUGUAUUUACCACUAGCCGACAAGAUGAUUCGCUUAUUCGACUGAUCACACACAAUUUUAGACAAGCAAGUCAUUAUUGGCUGUGAGAUAAUAUUCUCCAGAUGUUCCUAUAAGAAAGCGUACUUGAGAUCUUCUUUUAUACCUUGCAUAAUAGAUUUCUUUGAACCUCACAAGAAAUUACUGAUACUAUUUAUAAUACUGAAAAUCGAGGAAGAUUUCUACAGCUUUAUAAUAAAAAUUGUACAAUACAAUCUUUAACACAUUAUAACUUUCUUUAAUGUAAUUGUACUUAAUAGCGUUGCACUACUACGUGUAUCUAUAGGGUGUUUCAAAAAAUCAUGUCACGACCACUACAGAAGGAUUCUACGGCUUUCAUUUCAUGGAACAGACCGUAAGCAAAUGUUCACAAAAUUCAUUCUGGUCUUCAAAAAAUAGAUUAAAAUUCGUUGUUACUACAUCG